rnacentral:rRNA from 1 species
GAUGAACGCUGGCGGCAUGCCUAACACAUGCAAGUCGAGCGGAAGCACGUGAUUCUCGUGUCUCUGAUGUUAGCGGCGGACGGAUGAGUAACAAAUGGAUAACCUACCUAUCAAUCUGAGAUAACUACGGGAGACCGGAGCUAAUACCGGACAAUAUUUUGAACUGUAUUGUUCAAAAGUUAAAGACGAUCCUGCUGUCACUUAUAGAUGGAUGCGCGCUGCAUUAGCUAGUUGGUAAGGUAACGGCUUACCAAGGCAACGAUGGAUAGCCGACCUGAGAGGGAGGACGGCCCCACUGGAUCUGACACAGGGUCCAGACUCCUACGGAAGGGAGCAGGAGGGAAGCUACCGCAAUGGGCGAGAGCCUGACGGAGCCACCCAGGGUGAGUGCUGAAUGUCUGCCGUUCGUGAAACUCUGUUAUUAGAGAAGUACAUAUAUGUAAGUAACUGUGCUGACAUUGACGGUACCUAAUCAGAAAGCAACGGCUAACUCCGUG